rnacentral:tRNA from 1 species
GGUUUCUGGCUCAGUGGUAGAGCCCUUACCUAGCACGUGUGAGGCCUUGGGUUCAAUCCUCAGCACCA